rnacentral:rRNA from 1 species
CUGCUGCCUCCCGUAGGAGUUUGGGCCGUGUCUCAGUCCCAGUGUGGCCGUCCACCCUCUCAGGCCGGCUACUGAUCGUCGCCUUGGUGGGCCGUUACCCCGCCAACAAGCUAAUCAGACGCGGGUCCAUCUUACACCACCGGAGUUUUUCACACAAAUCCAUGCGGCUUCGUGCGCUUAUGCGGUAUUAGCACCUAUUUCUAAGUGUUAUCCCCCAGUGUAAGGCAGGUUACCCACGCGUUACUCACCCGUCCGCCACUAAGUA